ensembl:antisense
UGCUCAUUGUCCUUGGCGAUCUGUGUUUCCCGCUCCCAAUACUCCGGUCCCUCCUGCUCCAUCCAGGGCGACCGCGGCUCAGAUCUCGGAUUCUCCGCGUCGCUGUCGAAGCUCACGAACUGCGUGUUGUCCACGUAGCCGACAGAGAUGAACCGGGGCUCCCCGAGGCCGGGCCCGAACACUGCGGUCUCGAAAUAUCGCAUCGAGUGUGGGCCUGGGGGCGGCGCGCGAUGAGACCCCGACCUCCUCCCGGGACCUCGGGCGGGUGCGCAGGCCAGGAAGGGGAGCAGGGUGAGGGGGUCAGGGCGGCUGCCAGCAGCAGGAGCAGCGUUCGCUGCGCCAUUGCCCCAUUUGGAAUACAGGGCAUCUGAGGCCCUAGGGCUGCAUGGACUUUAUAACCUGCGCCCGCCGAUGAGGAGCUGGUUGGUUCCUUCCCCAGGAUCCUGCCACCCAAUGGACCUGCCAGAUAAUUCCUGCUACCUCAGGAGAAUCUGGUCACAAUGUGAUCAGUGUGGAGACCCAGUAGCAACUCUAGGAAAGUGUCCAUGAGUUUUACAUAUGAAGAGAACUGAGAAGCACCUGAAGCCUGUGCUGUUGCUCCCUGAGAAACUGACAAAGCUCUCCCUAGUCCACACCAUCAGAGAUCUGGGAAGGAUGAAUUUCUCCUGAGAAAGCAGGAAGUACACUUCAAGCAACUUCCAAAACUAUUAAAAAUGACAGACUUAUCUGUUACCUAGACAACCACUGUGGUAUACUGAUUUUAUUGGGAACAGAGGACCCAGGGAAGCAUCACUCUGUCUUUUCUGCGCAGUCCAGAAGAUCCAAAGCAAGACAAUCAACUCCCCAGUUGUCCACAGUUUUUCCAGGGUCCUGGUGACAGACUAGAUGAAAGGAAGAUUUUCACCCAGGCGGUCUGGCUUUGUCACCUUUAAAGCAAGCUCAAAGUGGAGUUCUUCUCUACCCCAUCAUCAUCUGUGAAGAC